GAUGAAGAACGUAGUGAAAUGCGAUAAGUAAUGUGAAUUGCAGAAUUCAGUGAAUCAUCGAAUCUUUGAACGCACCUUGCGCUCCUUGGUAUUCCAAAGGGCAUGCCUGUUCGAGCGUCAUUUGUACCCUCAAGCUUUGCUUGGUGUUGGGCGUCUUGUCUCCAGUCCGCUGGAGACUCGCCUUAAAGUCAUUGGCAGCCGGCCUACUGGUUUCGGAGCGCAGCACAAGUCGCACUCUUUUCCAGCCAAGGUCAGUGUCCAACAAGCCUUUUUUCAACUUUUGACCUCGGAUCAGGUAGGGAUACCCGCUGAACUUAAGCAUAUCAAUAAGCGGAGGA
rnacentral:misc_RNA from 1 species